CCUACGGGAGGCAGCAGUGGGGGAUAUUGGACAAUGGGGGGAACCCUGAUCCAGCGACGCCGCGUGAGUGAAGAAGUAUUUCGGUAUGUAAAGCUCUGUCAGCAGGGAAGAAAGAAAUGACGGUACCUGACCAAGAAGCCCCGGCUAACUACGUGCCAGCAGCCGCGGUAAUACGUAGGGGGCAAGCGUUAUCCGGAAUUACUGGGGGUAAAGGGAGCGUAGACGGUUAAGUAAGUCUGGAGUGAAAGGCCGGGGCCCAACCCCGGGACUGCUCUGGAAACUGUUGAACUGGAGUACAGGAGAGGUAAGCGGAAUUCCUAGUGUAGCGGUGAAAUGCGUAGAUAUUAGGAGGAACACCAGUGGCGAAGGCGGCUUACUGGACUGUAACUGACGUUGAGGCUCGAAAGCGUGGGGAGCAAACAGGAUUAGAUACCCUUGUAGUC
rnacentral:rRNA from 1 species